rnacentral:lncRNA from 10 species
GCUUGCUGUCAAUAAAUAUGUGGGUAAAUCUCUGUUUGGGGCUCUCAGCUCUGAAGGCUGUGAGACCCGAUUUCCCACUCCACACUCUGUAUUUCUGUGUGAGUGUCUUUAAUUCCUCUGGCGCCGCUGGGUUAGGGUCUCCACGACUGAGCUGAUCUCAGUAUCUACCACAUUCUGCUUUAUUCUCUUCUCUAGGGUAAGAAAAAUCACAAUACAUGGGUAUUCAAUAAAAUUCAAUUAAUUUAAGCCUGACUCUUGAGAAUGUGCAAUUGAAGGUUAUGAAUGUGUCACACCUAAGGUGGUGGUAGAAGUCUCUGGCACAUGGAAAAUGCCUGUUUUAACUUUUAGCUAUUUUUUUCAGGUUUUUGUCAUUAGAAUAUUUCUUCUGUUUCUACUGCAAAUAACUAUCAAAAAGGAAAAGAACAACUAGGAUGGCCUCCCCUGUUUAUCAUUGGCCCUACAAUUUUCUAGGAGUAAUAUCUUUUUGGAAUUAUGUAAUGUCCUCUGCUAAUGACAGUGUAUAGAUGCUAUUACAUUUCCUUGGGGGACAAAGUACUGUUGUCUGGAAGCUUUGAGAUUAAUGUAACACAAAGUAAAUAAGGAAGCGUUUUGCAUAUUCUUAGAUUUUUACAUUUUUAUUUUAAAACAGAGAAUUUCAUAUUGAUUAACACCUACUACUAAACAGAAUGAUGCAUUAAUUAAAUGCCUUGUCCUAACUGUUAUAAGCUCUGUUAGAAAAAUAAACAUCUCACCACAAACUACAGUGUCAGCUCUUUAAUAAAUACAUAAAACAGAAGUUAGUAGUCAAUCAGAGUUAUAUGAACAGGUUCAUAGUAUAUUAUGUGAAAGUAUCAUAUUCUCCAAUAUUCUGUAUCAUUUAAGACAAUUUAAGUUACGUAUAAUUCAAAGCCAGAAAUAAUAAGAAAUAUGUUCAGUGAUAAUUUGCUUCUUUCUUAGAGCUAUUUUAUAUUCAAAUAUUUAAUUUAAAAAUAUAUUCUAUAUUAAAUUUAUUUUUACAAACGCAGUAUUCGUUAGGUGAAACAAAAUAAGUUUUUAUGUUACUGAUAAGUUUAAUACAUUUCUAAUUUUUUUCAGAAGUUCAAGAAACCAUAAUGAAGUAGCUAAUGUAAAAUAGUUUAAAAGCUAUGUUAAAUAUACACAAAAUGAAUUUCUAUAUUAAUAUGUGCAAAUGUAUAUUUUCUUAUAAUUUAGAAUUAAAGUACUUUAUACUCAAUAUUCUUAAUAAAAUUUAUGUACCAUACUUGUCAUUGCGUAGACUUCUUAUCAAAAUUUCACAUUUAUCUGUAGGAAAAUGUAAAGUUGGUAAAAAUUGUUUACACAAAUCACACAUUUUCCAUCCUUGACAAUUGCAGUGUUUUUUUUUUAAAUAUUGCUGUAUUAGACAAUUUUAACUGAAGUAGGUUGUAGAGGCUAGAAACCUGAUUAAUAGAGCAGUAUUAGACAAUUCUAACUGAAGUAGGUUGCAGAGGCUAGAAGAAACCUGAUUAAUAGAGUUAGCUUACAAAGAUAAAUUUUAUGCAGAAAAGUAUUCCAGGUAGAUAAAAGAGUAUUAUUUUUCACUAUUAGGCUUAUUAAGCUUGAAGCUUUAGGAAAUCUCUUGGGAAGAGUGAGUGGAAAAAACAGGAGUAAGAAAAGGAAGAAAAAGCCUUUGAGUCUAAUCUACUCUACCAGGUUCCAGGAAGAAUAUAAUUCUACAGAGAAAAUUCUUCAUAAUCUAUCAUAAUAUAUUUCAGUGUCUGAUGGCUGACUCUUGUCUUGCAUAAAGAUAUCUUCAGUGGAUAUUAAGUAAAUAUUAAAAAUAUAUUUCAGAUUCAUUCUUUGAAGGAUUGCAUCUCAUGCAUCCACAAAUUUUAAUGUUGAGUUUUGGAAAAUUGCCUCCAGAGAUAUCUACUGUGUUUAAUCUUAGAUUUUUUUUUUAUUUUAAUAAACCAAAGAUAAACUGAACAUUUAAGACAUAAUCAGAUUUUUAGUGAAUUUUUAAGUCCUCCAGAAAAGUCUAUGACUUAAUAAAUAUUAGCAAGUUUCCAAAAAUAUAACAAAUGUUUAUAAAUACGUGUGCACUGCAGUGCAAUGGUGUCCCCAGAGAAAUAAAAUGCAUAACAAAGCAAAUGUUAUGUUGUAGUGUAUGUAUGGCACAUUUAUAAAUCAUUACAUACUUUAGGGCACAAAAAUGCUGCAGUACUAAAAGUGUUGUUCAAGUUCUCAAUUCUGUUAACAAUUUAAAAUUUCAUUAAUUGUGUUUAAUAUCAAUGAAUCUCAAAAGGCUCCUGUGGCCAUAUUAGUUGAAAAUAGACUCUAUUUGCAUACAUUAUUUAACCUAAGAGUACCCUGUGUUCCCUUACCAUUUAAUUAAUUCUAACUAGUCAAAUAUUAAUUCUCAUCUCACAAAUCAUUACACAGGAAGAUAUCAAUUAUUCAAGUAAAAUACAAGCCCUACAAUCUUUAAAAAUUAGCUUUUUAAGUAAAAACAAAAAAGAUAAGCACAAGACUUUGCAAGCAUAACCACAAUCAUCGUCUAACACUGAGUUGCCUACAAGGAAGUUUGUCCCUUCCUAUGGUAACAGCCUUGGUCCACUAUAAAGUUAGUGCAAACAAGUGAGGGUAUAAAAAAAAUAUAAACUCUGGAUUUUUAAGGAUUUCAUUUUGUUAUACUCUUUUUGGAUAAUUCAUUCCAUACGGAAAUUUGUUUAUUGUUCAUAAAUAUCAUAAUGUUCAUUUCAAAAAUUGUCAUCAUCUUAAUGGCUAUCUUACACUUUUUUCUUUUGGAGGGUUGUCAGGCAUCCAUCCAUUUUCCUUUUUAAGAAGAACGUUAUGUGUAUUAGGCUACUAAACCCAAUUUUUACAUUAUUUUUAGUGAUCAAAGGUUUCUUAUACAAGUGACUCACAGUACUGAAUUAUGUCAAUCUCUCAUUUGAGGAAGGAAAUGCAGUUCAAGUUAGCAUUGAAAGUGCUUGGCUGUAGAGGACAUCUAACAGAGCUGCUGUGUUUAUUGGCUCCAGAACAACUUAUUAUAGGUUUUUCAGUUCUCUUUAGGGUAGAAUAUGAGAUGGGGUUAGUCUUCAUCAAAAUGCAGUAUCUAGUACUUUAACUCAAGUGCUGGAAGACAGCAAAUCUUGGAAGUUUAUUAUAAAAAAAAAGAUAUUUCGGAUAGAUUCCUUUGUUGUCAUGGGCAAAACUGUAUAUCCACACAGGACUGUUAGACUCCUAGCCAAUAAAAUCAGACUAAGUCCAUAGGGAUAAGGUAAGUGUAAAUAAAUUUCCAUUGGGGAAGACAGGGCUCAUGGCCCGUGUAUCAAGGUCUCAAGCUGAGCACUGGAGAACUCCAGGGAACACUGUUCAUACAGGCUAUGGUGCGAAGGAAUUCCCCUGUAGGUAUGCCAUACUUCAGUCUCUUAAGAAGCUGAUUAGCAUGAAAGACUGGAAGCUGAUUAUGGACAAUUCAGUUUGAAUUAUUCCUUUCUAUUUUGCUUUGAACUUUCCUCAUACACUUAAGACAUGAGUAAAUCACAUUGAAAAACAUUUGCCAAUUGAAUAUUUUAAAGAUUCAAGAGGUAGCAUGAUAUUGUGCAAUGAACACUGGCCUGACAAUGAGAAGAUAAAAACUCCUUUCCAAUGUGGCCACUUUAUCACUUGAGUGUUUUCUGAGAAAUCGUUUAAGUUUUCUGAGGCUCAGUUCCCUAACUCACUAAAAAGGAGAAUUAGCAGCCUGGCAUGGUGGCUCAUGCCUGUAAUCCCAACACUCUGGGAGGCCGAGGAGGGUAGAUCACCUGAGGUCAGGAGUUUGAGAUCAACCUGUCCAACAUGGCAAAACCCCGUCUCUACUAAAAAUACAAAAAUUAGCUGGGCACGGUGGUGGAUGCCUGUAAUCCCAGCUACUCAGGAGGCUGAGGCAGGAGAACUGCUUGAACCCGGGAGGCAGAGGUUGCAGUGAACCCUAAUUGCGCCAUUGCACUUCAGCCUGGGUGACAAGAGUGAAACUCCGUCUCAAAAAAAAAAAAAAAAAAAAAAAAAGCUUAUUUCUAAGAUAUCAUCUAUUCUCCAAUUUUGUACUUUUAUGAAUUCUGGCAAGAAGGGUUGGAGUGAUUCUGGGAAAGAACAUCCUUAGGCUGCCUUGAAGGGAGAAGAUAAUAUAGCUUUUCAUUUAAAAAAUGCUGAUAUCUACUUGCAAUCAAAAUCUAAGAAAACAUUCAAAAUGUGGUACUUUGCUUGAGGCAGAAUUUCUAACUAUCUUGUGAAUUAAUGAUAAGAUAAAUGAAAUGGCCAAACAAUCCCUUCAGUUUACCAGGUAAGAGGAUACAAAACUCCACACUUGUGCACAAUGAAGCUAUUCAGGUUUUGAUGAUACUUUACAGUGUCCCCUAUUAACAUUCAGCUUUUAAAACUAGUAUUCUGAUAAAGUGACAUUGUAUUAUUAGUUUUUUAUGGCAGUAGUAACUUAGCACUUAAUUAAUCCAGUCAUCUGUGACAUACAUAAACUUAUCCUGUAAAAAAGA